AUAAAGUUUAAAUUUAGUUUAAAAAUUUAUUUAAUUUUUUAUUUACAUGUAAAUUUUAGUGGGAAUUUAAUAUUAAUUUAAAUAAUUAUUUUAAAUAGUUUAUUCGCAGUAUGAAGAUUUAUUGAUUUAUGAAAUUAAGAAUUAUGAAUAAAUUUUAUUAUUGACAAAAUUUGUGCCAGCAGUUGCGGUUAUACAAAAAAUAUAAAUGAAUUUUAUUGGUAAAUAAUAAAAUUUAUUUAUUUUAAUUAAAAUGGAAUUUUUAAGGUGAAAUUUUAAUUUUUUUUUAGUUAUUAAAAAUUAAAUUGAUAUUAUGAAAUUUAUUUAUUAAACUAGGAUUAGAUACCCUAUUAUUAUAAAUGUUAAUUUUUACUAAAGUAGUAUUAGUUAUGAUCUUGAAAUUUAAAAAUUUUGGCGGUAUUUUAGUCUUUUCAGAGGAACUUGUCCUGUAAUUGAUAGUCCACGAUAGAUUAUACUUUAUUUAUUAGUUUAUAUAUCGUCGUUUUUAAAUAUUUUAUAAGAAUUUAAAUAUUUAAGAUUUUAGUAUAAAAAAUAAAUCAGAUCAAGGUGUAGCUUAUAAUAAAGAAGAGAUGAGUUACAAUAAAUUUAUUUUUAUGAAUUUGUAUAUGAAAAUAUAUAAUGAAGGUGGAUUUGAUAGUAAUAAAUUUUAUAAAAAAUUUGUGAUUUUAGCUCUAAAAUGUGUACAUAUUGCCCGUCGCUCUUAUUUUAAAAUAAGAUAAGUCGUAACAAAGUAGAUGUACUGGAAAGUGUAUCUAGAAAGA
rnacentral:ncRNA from 1 species